rnacentral:lncRNA from 1 species
UGAGCUUCCCAGACAACCAAAGUACUCACUGAAAUUGAAGCAAGAGAGAGACAUGGUGACAAGAAGAAUUUCUGACUGGAAAGUGAAAAGCGAGUGGCAAUCAGAAAAAUAGGGACAGUAAGGAGGGUAAGCCCUAUUUAUAUCGCCCUCCAAUAGUCUUGAUCGAAGCCUCAAUCCAUUAGAUAUCCACUGCAUGUCUCC